AUGUCUCCACUUAGCUGGAUUUUCCUUGUUGCAAUUUUAAAAGGUGUCCAGUGUGAGGUGCCACUGGUGGAGUCUGGGGGAGACCUGAGGCAACCUGGGGGAUCUCUGAAGCUCUCCUGUUUAGCCUCUGGGUUCACCUUCAGUAAUGCUUGGAUGCACUGGGUUCGCCAAGCUCCAGAAAAGGGACUGGAAUGGGUCUCACGUAUUAGUAAGAGUGGGGGUACAAGCUAUGCAGAUUCUGUAAAGGGCCGAUUCACCAUCUCCAGAGACAAUGCCAAGAACAUGCUGUAUCUGCAGAUGGACAGUCUGAAAACAGAGGACACAGCAGACACAGUGAGGGAAAGUCACCCUGACAAAAACCUCUCUCUGUGGGAGCUGAGAGCAAAGGACUCAGAUCCAGGAGCAGGUGUAGAUGUGAGUUAA